UACGGGGGGGGCAAGCGUUGUUCGGAAUUACUGGGCGUAAAGGGCUCGUAGGCGGCCAACUAAGUCGGAUGUGAAAUCCCCGGGCUUAACCUGGGAACUGCGCUUGUAACUGGCAAGCUUGAGUGUGGCAGAGGGGGGUGGAAUUCCACGUGUAGCAGUGAAAUGCGUAGAGAUGUGGAGGAACACCGAUGGCGAAGGCAGCCCCCUGGGCUAACACUGACGCUCAUGCACGAAAGCGUGGGGAGCAAACAGG
rnacentral:rRNA from 1 species